AUUGAAAGUCAAAUUUUGAUGGAGUUCAUAUUAUUGUGCUAAAAAUUAAUGGGCAACUACCAAGAUUUUUUCAAACAUUUUAUUUUUCAAUUAAAGUUGACAUAUAAUAUUAUAUUAGUUCCAGGGAUACACUCCAGUGAUUAGACAUUACAUAACUUUCUAAAUGUACAUCCUAUAUUUCUUGUACCCAUCUGAUACCAUACAUAGUUAUUAGAAUAUUAUUGACUAUAUUCCCUAUACUGUAAUUUAUAUCCCCAUGACUAUUCUGGAACUAUCAACUUGUACUUAAUCCCUUCACCUUCUUCACCAGCCCCUCAACAAACCUCCCAUCUGCAAUCAUCAAAAUGUUCUGUGUAUCUAUGACUGUUUCUGCUGCAUCUUCAUUUAUUUUUUACAAUCAACUGUUGAUAGGCAUGUAUUAUUGCCAUUUAUUAUUCAUAUUUUUAUCUCUUUUUUCCUUCUUCUUAAGGGGUCUUAAAGAAGACCCUAUAACAUUUUGGGUAAUCAAGUAAUACUGGUUUGGUGGUAAAAAAAUUCUUUAGUUUUUCCUUGCCUAAAAAGCUCUUUCUGUGUCCUUUGAUUCUAAAUGAUAGCUUUGUUGGGUAAUCAUGGUUGUCAGGUCCUUCCUUUUCAUAACUUUGAAUAAUUCUUUGCCAAUCCCUUUGGGCCUGCUAAGCUUCUGUUGAGAAAUCAACGGGCAGUCUUAUGGGAGCGCCCUUGUAGGUAACUGUUUUAACCAACUGCUUUUCUCUUGCUACUUUUAUGAUUCUUUGUCUUUAAUCUUUGCGUUAUAAUUA